AUACGUAGGGGGCGAGCGUUGUCCGGAAUGAUUGGGCGUAAAGGGCGCGUAGGCGGCCCGGUAAGUCUGGAGUGAAAGUCCUGUUUUUAAGAUGGGAAUUGCUUUGGAUACUGUCGGGCUUGAGUGCAGGAGAGGUAAGUGGAAUUCCCAGUGUAGCGGUGAAAUGCGUAGAGAUUGGGAGGAACACCAGUGGCGAAGGCGACUUACUGGACUGUAACUGACGCUGAGUCGCGAAAGUGUGGGGAGCAAACAGGAUUAGAUACCCUGGUAGUCCACACUGUAAACGAUGAAUGCUAGGUGUAGGGGGUAUCGACCCCUUCUGUGCCGCAGUCAACACAAUAAGCAUUCCGCCUGGGGAGUACGGCCGCAAGGUUGAAACUCAAAGGAAUUGACGGGG
rnacentral:rRNA from 1 species